AAAAGUUGAACGUACAAGCUCAGUGAGGCAAGAAUGGAAUAUCUGAGGGCUAGAACUUUGCUUAAAGAGAUAGUCAUGGUUCAUCUGACCACAAAGCCUGUCAUAGUCAUGGAAGCAAAAGCAUGAAAAACCUAUGAGUGUGUGAGAUCCUAAAAACGUAUUUCACUCAUCCUUCCAAGGCUCUGUGUCAUCCUGGCAUGCCAGACUGUAAACUGUUUGCUUCGAGUAAAGCUGAAAACUAAAAGAAUCCUCACACCAAAAUAUAAUCGAAACAAUAUUCCUGAUGAAUUUAAAGUCCACAUAAAGAACAGUUUGCAUUACUAAACUCAAUAGACCAUGAAGCAGAAGAACUGUGGAUAGAAGAACAAGAUCAUCCCAAGAUAUAUGGUAACUGUCUGAGGUGAUGGACAAGAUGAUGCCCCAGGCAAAUCCAUAUACAGAAGCAGUUCAGUUCUACUUCAGCAUCGCCAAUGGAAUAGCAUCCUCUACCAUGACACAGAGCAGAAGAUUAGGGUCAUGGGUCUGAUCCCCUGUUGAUGCACGAAAUCCAUAGCUACUACAUUUAAGAAUUUUAGAUGUUAUUGUUUUAAGACUUUUAAAGAUACAUUUUUAAAAUAUUUAUUUUACUGUAUAUUACUAUGCAAGUUCUGGUUGGUAGAAAAUAAGUUCACGUGAUUUUGGAACUUAAGUUGGGUUGGGCCUGGUUACUAGGAGUCUUCAGGGGUCCCACCCCAUUAGUGCUGCAUACUACGCAGAGCAGUUUACAGCAAAAUAAAAUAUAACCUGGCAACAACAGGGUUAUAAAUCAAACCAAGAUACUAUAACACAUACUACAAGAGACUUAACAUCAGCUAUUGGAAAAGGUGAAA